rnacentral:rRNA from 1 species
UACGUAGGUGACGAGCGUUAUCCGGAAUACUGGCGUAAGCGCACGCAAGCGGUUGGACAAGUCUGGCGUGAAAUCCUCUGGCUUAACCAGGGGCGGUCGCUGGAGACUGUUCGGCUUGAGGCGAUGAGAGGGGUGCAGAAUUCCCGGUGUAGUGGUGGAAUGCGUAGAGAUCGGGAGGAAUACCAGUGGCGCAGGCGCGUCCUGGACCGGCACUGACGCUGAGGAGCGAAAGCGUGGGGAGCGAUCCGG